rnacentral:rRNA from 1 species
AUUGAACGCUGGCGGCAUGCUUUACACAUGCAAGUCGAACGGUAACAGGGUGCUUGCACCGCUGACGAGUGGCGAACGGGUGAGUAAUGCGUCGGAACGUGCCGAGUAGUGGGGGAUGACGCAGCGAAAGUUGUGCUAAUACCGCAUACGUACUGAGGUAGAAAGUGGGGGACCUUCGGGCCUCACGCUAUUCGAGCGGCCGACGUCUGAUUAGCUAGUAGGUGAGGUAACGGCUCACCUAGGCGACGAUCAGUAGCGGGUCUGAGAGGAUGAUCCGCCACACUGGGACUGAGACACGGCCCAGACUCCUACGGGAGGCAGCAGUGGGGAAUUUUGGACAAUGGGCGAAAGCCUGAUCCAGCCAUGCCGCGUGUCUGAAGAAGGCCUUCGGGUUGUAAAGGACUUUUGUCGGGGAGGAAAUCCCCAGCGUUAAUACCGCUGGGGGAUGACAGUACCUGAAGAAUAAGCACCGGCUAACUACGUGCCAGCAGCCGCAGUAACAC